rnacentral:lncRNA from 1 species
GGUGGGAGGGGACGGAGCGGGCGGGACUUGAGAAAAGCAAAGUACCAGAGUGCGGUUGAGGGGUCCCACCAACCCGGGAAUGGAGGGGGAGGGAGGCGUGGGCUUGGCGCGUUUUUGGUGCUUUGAAUGGAGAACUCCGUUUCCCAUGAUGCUUUGUUUCUUUCUCUUUAAUUCACUUGGAAAUGGGAGAAGGUUUUCUUAUGGAAGAUAAUGACAUGAAGGGAAGAAGAGCUAAUCUGCCUACUUUGGUUUAAUGGAGAAAAUGGGUCCAUAAAUGUUUAAACAGAAGUAGAGCCCUUUGAAAUAGAUCAAAAUGUGACAUCUCUCAGCCAUCUGUGCAUUAUGUGAAGACUGUAAGGCUGUGUUUCUUAAACCAGCUCUAAAAUUUCUCUCAUUUUCUAUUAAUGGGGUGGGGGCUGGGUCAAAUUUUCUUAGAUGGAGAGGGGGAGUCCAAAAUCCGCUUAUACAUAAGAAUUGGACUUUUUGCAGUUGCCAGUGUUAUUCGUGUUCAAUUCUGUGUAAAUAAUUGAGAUUAUUAA